rnacentral:rRNA from 1 species
AGUUAUCUGAACCUUCGGGGAACGAUAACGGCGUCGAGCGGCGGACGGGUGAGUAAUGCCUAGGAAAUUGCCCUGAUGUGGGGGAUAACCAUUGGAAACGAUGGCUAAUACCGCAUGAUGCCUACGGGCCAAAGAGGGGGACCUUCGGGCCUCUCGCGUCAGGAUAUGCCUAGGUGGGAUUAGCUAGUUGGUGAGGUAAGGGCUCACCAAGGCGACGAUCCCUAGCUGGUCUGAGAGGAUGAUCAGCCACACUGGAACUGAGACACGGUCCAGACUCCUACGGGAGGCAGCAGUGGGGAAUAUUGCACAAUGGGCGCAAGCCUGAUGCAGCCAUGCCGCGUGUGUGAAGAAGGCCUUCGGGUUGUAAAGCACUUUCAGUCGUGAGGAAGGUGGUGUAGUUAAUAGCUGCAUUAUUUGACGUUAGCGACAGAAGAAGCACCGGCUAACUCCGUGCCAGCAGCCGCGGUAAUACGGAGGGUGCGAGCGUUAAUCGGAAUUACUGGGCGUAAAGCGCAUGCAGGUGGUUUGUUAAGUCAGAUGUGAAAGCCCGGGGCUCAACCUCGGAAUAGCAUUUGAAACUGGCAGACUAGAGUACUGUAGAGGGGGGUAGAAUUUCAGGUGUAGCGGUGAAAUGCGUAGA